rnacentral:misc_RNA from 1 species
UUUCCGUAGGUGAACCUGCGGAAGGAUCAUUAAUGAGUUGUCAUGGGGUUCGAUGCUGGCAGCCAGUUUUUGGAUGCAUGUGCUUGCCCUAACAAUCAUCUUCUUCCAAACACCUGUGCACAUUUUUGAGGGAGUCUUGAGUUGGUUGCCGCUCUUGGGUGAUUUUCUCACAUUCCCUUAAAUCAUUAUACGCUAUUAACAAUGUUGAACGUGCUCUGUGCCGCAAGGCUAUUAAUAUAAUACAACUUUUAACAACGGAUCUCUUGGCUCUC